CCUACGGGAGGCAGCAGUGGGGAAUAUUGGGCAAUGGAGGAAACUCUGACCCAGCCAAGUCGCGUGAGGGAUGAAGGUUCUAUGGAUCGUAAACCUCUUUUAUAAGGAAAUAAAGUGAGGGACGUGUCCCUUUUUGUAUGUACCUUAUGAAUAAGGAUCGGCUAACUCCGUGCCAGCAGCCGCGGUAAUACGGAGGAUCCGAGCGUUAUCCGGAUUUAUUGGGUUUAAAGGGUGCGUAGGUGGCCUGUUAAGUCAGCUGUGAAAGUCUGUGGCUCAACCAUAGAAUUGCCGUUGAACCUGGGAGCCUUGAGGAUGUGUGAGGAAGGCGGAAUGCGUGGUGUAGCGGUGAAAUGCUUAGAUAUCACGCAGAACCCCGAUUGCGAAGGCAGCCUGCCAAGCCAUGACUGACGCUGAUGCACGAAAGCGUGGGGAUCAAACAGGAUUAGAUACCCCGGUAGUC
rnacentral:rRNA from 1 species